rnacentral:rRNA from 1 species
GACGAACCGUGCGAACGUUAUUCGGAAUCAUUGGGCUUAAAGGGCGCGUAGGCGGCGGCGUAAGUUGGAAGUGAAAUCCCAUCGGCUCAACCGUGGAAUUGCUCCCAGUACUGCGUCGCUCGAGGGGGAUAGGGGUCUGCGGAACUACCGGUGGAGCGGUGAAAUGUGUUGAUAUCGGUGGGAACGCCAGUGGCGAAAGCGGCAGACCUGGACCCUUCCUGACGCUAAGGCGCGAAAGCUAGGGGAGCAAACGGG